ACAACAGACAACUGAGGUAACGUCCACUCUUCGAAGGUGUGUCGUCCACCACGUCAGGACCAAAGUCCAAGCGCUCCCCGUACCCUAAGGAGGCCAGAACUCGCCCCCAUGCCGGGCACAGAUCCCCCAGCCCGGAGCCGGCAGUGCAGCUCAGAGCCCUUCCGGUUUACAGCCGCGGAAAAACAACUCGGACCAGAUCGGUGAGGGGAAUGGGGGCUGGGCGGCCAAAAUUCAGUCCAGAGGAUCGGAGCGGCUGCUUUAACAGCGGUUGGGGCUGCGUAACAACAGCUCCAGGCAAAGCUUCAGGCUGAUCUGAAGGAUGAGGAAGCAGAAAAGAGACUAAAGACAGACGGACAGGAUGGCUGGGGACAACGACAGGGACCCAGUGAAAAUACGGGCAAUACCGAGGGCUGUAACCCUAACACGGGCAAAUUUGGAGGGGCUAACAUGGGCAGAAACCAUCCGUACCAGUCACCACCACUGUCUCCAGCUGUCCCAGAACCGGACUCUUCCUGCCACCAAAAUGGCGGCGGCGACGGCAGCGGUGGUAGCACCUACGCUGGCGGUGACCAGGCGAAGGAAGUUGCUUCCGAGCGCGUCGAAACGAUGAUGCGCACGCGCAAAGUAGGCCUACGCGGAGCCGACCUGCCAUUGGGGAACCUGAUGGAAUAAACUGCUGUGAGAGGGAGUAUUGAAAAUAUUUCUCCCCUGGACCUUGUUCCCAGGCUCCGUGUGAAGCUGAACACUCUGCAUGAUCUCCCUGCCACCAUAGCAAGCUAUGAAGUUCAUUACACAUGCAGGUAGCAGACAAUACAGCUCUGCUUCCAUUUCUGAGCACCUACGGUAGACAGACUGCCAUUAUUCAGUGUGCCAGCCUGUUUCCAAGCCUACAAUGUAUAGUUCCUCUAGUACGUAAACUCAUUUUUUUUCUCAGAGAGCCAAGUAGAGACACAGGCAGUUUUCUUCUCAAAAUGUGCCAGAAAUUCCAAAACAAUCUCAAAGCAUUAAAGGCUAUGUGCAGAAAGC
rnacentral:antisense_RNA from 1 species